rnacentral:rRNA from 1 species
AACGAACGCUGGCGGCAUGCCUAACACAUGCGAGUCGAACGAGACCUUCGGGUCUAGUGGCGCACGGGUGCGUAACGCGUGGGAACCUGCCCUUAGGUUCGGAAUAACUCCCCGAAAGGGGUGCUAAUACCGGAUAAUGUCUUCGGACCAAAGAUUUAUCGCCUUUGGAUGGGCCCGCGUUGGAUUAGCUAGUUGGUAGGGUAAAAGCCUACCAAGGCGACGAUCCAUAGCUGGUCUGAGAGGAUGCUCCGCCACACUGGGACUGCGACACGGCCCAGACUCCUACGGGAGGCAGCAGUGGGGAAUAUUGGACAAUGGGCGAAAGCCUGAUCCAGCAAUGCCGCGUGAGUGAUGAAGGCCUUAGGGUUGUAAAGCUCUUUUACCCGGGAUGAUAAUGACAGUACCGGGAGAAUAAGCUCCGGCUAACUCCGUG